rnacentral:tRNA from 1 species
ACUAGAUAGCUGAACGGUAUAGCGGCGGACAUGUUCCGUGUAUGCGGGUUCGAUUCCCGCUCUAGUCA